rnacentral:misc_RNA from 1 species
UUUCCGUAGGUGAACCUGCGGAAGGAUCAUUACAAAAUGUUAUGGGAUGUCCUAACGGGCACCCAAGCAAACACGUCCAUAUUAAACUUUUGAAACAAUUACUAGUCUGAUAAGGCCAUAUGCUGUAAAAAUUUAAAUAUAUUAAAACUUUCAACAACGGAUCUCUUGGCUCUC